AUUGAAUAUCUAGAUCUAUUGAGCCGAUGUACUUUUUACUGAUUUAACCAACUGUUAAACCAGUAAAAAGUACAUCGGCUCAAUAGAUCUAUAUAUCAAUCAUACGACUCCAGUAACUACAAGUCUACUGUCAAGAAUUUAUUAGCAAAUUGAGGCUUCAAGAACUUUGUCAUUAUAUCUAGAUCUAUAUUAUUAUUAUAUCUGAGAUAAAGCCAAAAUCCAGAUAUCGAACAUUCUGCUCCAAUACAAGAAACUAACAAGAAAAUUAAAUAUGGCUUCCAGUGCUAGAACACAACGAUUCUUCGAAUUAAUAGAAUUAGCCAAAGA
rnacentral:sRNA from 1 species